CAGUGCAUGGGGUAAGACCUAUGCUUUUCUAGACUCUAAAAAGGUCUUGGAAUAAGAGGUGGGUAAGGACGGUGCCAGCCGCCGCGGUAAUACCGGCGCCUCAAGUGGUAGUCGCUUUUAUUGGGCCUAAAACGUCCGUAGCCGGUCUGAUACAUUCGUGGGUAAAUCAACCAGCUUAACUGGUUGAAUUCUGCGAGGACGGUCAGACUUGGGACCGGGAGAGGUGUGGGGUACGCUCAGGGUAGGGGUAAAAUCCUGUCAUCCUGAGCGGACCACCUGUUGCGAAGGCGCCACACUAGAACGGAUCCGACGGUCAGGGACGAAGCCUAGGGGCACGAACCGGAUUAAAUACCCGGGUAGUCCUAGGUGUAAACGCUGUGGACUUGAUGUUGGGGGUGCUCCGAGCACUCUCAGUGUCGAAGCGAAGGUGAUAAGUCCACUGCCUGGGAAGUACGGUCGCAAGGCUGAAACUUAAAG
rnacentral:rRNA from 1 species